GACGUAGGGUGCAAGCGUUGUCCGGAUUUAUUGGGCGUAAAGAGCUCGUAGGCGGCUUGUUGCGUCGACUGUGAAAACCCGCGGCUUAACCGCGGGCUUGCAGUUGAUACGGGCAGGCUAGAGUUCGGUAGGGGAGACUGGAAUUCCUGGUGUAGCGGUGAAAUGCGCAGAUAUCAGGAGGAACACCGGUGGCGAAGGCGGGUCUCUGGGCCGAUACUGACGCUGAGGAGCGAAAGCUAGGGGAGCAAACGGG
rnacentral:rRNA from 1 species